rnacentral:rRNA from 1 species
CCUACGGGGGGCAGCAGUGGGGAAUAUUGGACAAUGGGCGCAAGCCUGAUCCAGCAAUACCGCGUGUGUGAAGAAGGCCUGAGGGUUGUAAAGCACUUUCAAUAGGGAGGAAAAAGGUAGGUUUAAUACGUCUGCCCUUGACAUUACCUAUAGAAGAAGCACCGGCUAACUCCGUGCCAGCAGCCGCGGUAAUACGGAGGGUGCGAGCGUUAAUCGGAAUUACUGGGCGUAAAGCGUGCGUAGGCGGCCUGUUAAGUCAGAUGUGAAAGCCCCGGGCUUAACCUGGGAACGGCAUUUGAAACUGGCAAGCUAGAGUUGAGUAGAGGGGAGUGGAAUUUCAGGUGUAGCGGUGAAAUGCGUAGAUAUCUGAAGGAACACCAGUGGCGAAGGCGGCUCCCUGGACUCAAACUGACGCUGAGGUACGAAAGCGUGGGUAGCAAACAGGAUUAGAUACCCUUGUAGUC